CGUGUAGGCGGCUGGAUAAGUCAGAUGUGAAAGCCCUGGGCUUAACCCAGGAAGUGCAUUUGAAACUGUUCAGCUUGAGUAGGGGAGAGGAAAGUGGAAUUCCUGGUGUAGAGGUGAAAUUCGUAGAUAUCAGGAGGAACACCGGUGGCGAAGGCGACUUUCUGGCCCUAUACUGACGCUGAGACGCGAGAGCGUGGGUAGCAAACA
rnacentral:rRNA from 1 species